rnacentral:tRNA from 1 species
GAGGGUGUAGCUCAGUGACAUGGCACAUGCCUAGCAUGCAUGAGGUCCUCGGUUCAAUCCCCAGUACCUCCA